AUGGGAACGCGAAGAACCUUACCUACUCUUGACAUCCAGAGAACUUUCCAGAGAUGGAUUGGUGCCUUCGGGAACUCUGAGACAGGUGCUGCAUGGCUGUCGUCAGCUCGUGUUGUGAAAUGUUGGGUUAAGUCCCGCAACGAGCGCAACCCGUUAUCCUUUGUUGCCAGCGGUUCGGCCGGGAACUCAAAGGAGACUGCCAGUGAUAAACUGGAGGAAGGUGGGGAUGACGUCAAGUCAUCAUGGCCCUUACGAGUAGGGCUACACACGUGCUACAAUGGCGCAUACAAAGAGAAGCGACCUCGCGAGAGCAAGCGGACCUCAUAAAGUGCGUCGUAGUCCGGAUUGGAGUCUGCAACUCGACUCCAUGAAGUCGGAAUCGCUAGUAAUCGUAGAUCAGGAAUGCUA
rnacentral:rRNA from 1 species